UGAACUGAAGAGUUUGAUCAUGGCUCAGAUUGAACGUUGGCGGCAGGCCUCAUACAUGCAAGUCGAACGAGAAAGGCCCUUCGGGGCCGAGUAAAGUGGCGGACGGGUGAGUAAUGCGUAGGAAUCUACCCGGUAGUGGGGGACAACUCGAGGAAACUCGAGCUAAUACCGCAUACGAUCUUCGGAUGAAAGCGGGGGACUCUUCGGAGCCUCGCGCUAUCGGAGGAGCCUACGUUGGAUUAGCUAGUUGGUAGGGUAACGGCCUACCAAGGCGACGAUCCAUAGCUGGUCUGAGAGGACGAUCAGCCACACUGG
rnacentral:rRNA from 1 species